UACAGAGGUCUCAAGCGUUGUUCGGAUUCAUUGGGCGUAAAGGGUGCGUAGGCGGCGCGGUAAGUCGGGUGUGAAAUCUCGGAGCUUAACUCCGAAACUGCAUUCGAUACUGCCGUGCUUGAGGACUGGAGAGGAGACUGGAAUUUACGGUGUAGCGGUGAAAUGCGUAGAUAUCGUAAGGAACACCAGUGGCGAAGGCGGCUUUCUGGUCUGUAACUGACGCUGAGGCGCGAAAGCGUGGGGAGCAAACAGG
rnacentral:rRNA from 1 species